GUGAUCAUCGAAUCUUUGAACGCACUUGCCCUGGUAUUCCGGGAUGCCUGUUGAGUUCAUGAACACCUCAACUCUCAUGGUUUGCCAUGAUGAGCUUGGACUUUGGAGGUCUUGCCGGCCUGCAGUCGGCUCCUCUCAAAUGGAUCAGCUUGCCAGUGUUUGGUGGCAUCAUGGGUGUGAUAACUAUCUACGCCUGUGGUUUUCCACCGGAUAACCUUCAGUGAUGGAGGUUUGCCUGGAGCUCAUAAAUGUCUCUCCUCAGUGAAGACAGCUUUUUUGAACGUUUGAUCUCAAAUCAGGUAGGACUACCCGCUGAACUUAAGCAUAUCAAUAAGCGGAGG
rnacentral:rRNA from 1 species